GAUGAACGCUGGCGGCGUGCCUAAUACAUGCAAGUCGAGCGAACAGACGAGGAGCUUGCUCCUCUGACGUUAGCGGCGGACGGGUGAGUAACACGUGGAUAACCUACCUAUAAGACUGGGAUAACUUCGGGAAACCGGAGCUAAUACCGGAUAAUAUAUUGAACCGCAUGGUUCAAUAGUGAAAGACGGUUUUGCUGUCACUUAUAGAUGGAUCCGCGCCGCAUUAGCUAGUUGGUAAGGUAACGGCUUACCAAGGCAACGAUGCGUAGCCGACCUGAGAGGGAGAUCCGCCACCGGGGAGCUGAGCACUGUUCCAGAACCGCGAGUAGGGCAGAAGUGGGGAAUCUUCCCAAGGGGGGAAAACCCAACGGGGGCAACCGCAGGUGGGUAAAGAAGUUUUUCGAUUCAUAAACCUGUUUUAUGAGGAAAAAACAAGUUGUAAGGUAAAGAGCCGUUUCUUAGCGUGGCCAAUCAAAAAAGCCCCGCCGAGCACCGA
rnacentral:rRNA from 1 species